rnacentral:rRNA from 1 species
UACAGAGGUCUCAAGCGUUGUUCGGAAUCACUGGGCGUAAAGGGUGCGUAGGUGGCGUGGUAAGUCAGAUGUGAAAGCCCGGGGCUCAACCUCGGAAUUGCAUCCGAUACUACCAUGCUAGAGUACUGAAGAGGUGACUAGAAUUCUCGGUGUAGCAGUGAAAUGCGUAGAUAUCGAGAGGAAUACCAAAGGCGAAGGCAGGUCACUGGGCAGUUACUGGACACUGAGGCACGAAGGCUAGGGGAGCAAACGGG